rnacentral:rRNA from 1 species
AUUGAACGCUGGCGGCGUGCUUAACACAUGCAAGUCGAUCGGUAACAGGUGUAGCAAUACAUGCUGACGAGAGGCGGACGGGUGAGUAAUGCUUGGGAAUCUGCCUAUUAGUGGGGGACAACCCGGGGAAACUCGGGCUAAUACCGCAUACGCUCUACGGAGGAAAGCCGGGGACCGCAAGGCCUGGCGCUAAUAGAUGAGCCCAAGUCGGAUUAGCUAGUUGGUAGGGUAACGGCCUACCAAGGCGACAAUCCGUAGCUGGUCUGAGAGGACGACCAGCCACACCGGAACUGAGACACGGUCCGGACUCCUACGGGAGGCAGCAGUGGGAAUAUUGGACAAUGGGGGCAACCCUGAUCCAGCGACGCCGCGUGGGUGAAGAAGGCCUGCGGGUUGUAAAGCCCUUUCGGUGGGGAAGAAAAGUCUCGACCUAAUACGUCGGGACCUUGACGUAACCCACUAAAGAAGCACCGGCUAACUCUGU